CAGAGGAGAGACUGAAUAUGUUGAAACACGCAAAACUGAGGUGACAUUGUGUUCUGCUUGGGAUUGCAACGGCACAGGCAAUUUCCUUACAGUCAUGCAUUGUAUAUGUGUGUGUGAAAGCGAUUUUCUGUGACACAGUUAUGUUUUCAGAGGUAGGUUUGCUCUGUAAGAAAAAAAAUUGAGCAAUCCUGGUUUUCACCCAAACUUUUAAAGUCAGCUCCCGGCCACUCGACCUGACAUGCACCAUUUUUCUGCACAAUAGGGGAUUAGUAAUUUACUUCCAUUAAUACAAUGCAAUGCACAUGUUGAACUGACAGAUUUAGUGACUCCCGCCAACGGGAUUUUUCAUCGUAAUAUGCACUUUAUUUUCCCCUGUGAAAGUUCCCUGUCAUAUUAAGUGGAAUUGAACAGACAUAAUAAACUGUGACAGUGUCUGUGAUGAAUGGUCCUCGAGUCACAAUCUGAAAUUUCACUGUUUACAAUUCCUCAGAAGCAAUUCUGUUGCAUAAAUCAUAAUCUGUGUAUAUUAGCUGUCAAAAUUAAGUGUUAUGAGAGUGGGAGAUGCCACAUUCGUUGACUCUCAUCGUAGCAAAAAGAUGGAUGCAGUAGAUGUGCCGACAACAUGUCGAGAUUAUGAAGCCGUAAACUUUUUCGUAAGAUUAUUAUUUAACCACCCUGCAACGCUUCAGAUUUAACCACAUCUGCAAAAACAGCUUAACCGCAAUCAGCCAACAUUUGACACAAAAUACAAACUCUACUGAUGUGCCAUUUCUGCAACUAAAUUCUCUCAAUCUAGUGUGAUCAGUAAUUUUAAUAUUUAAAAACACCCGCUUCAGUGAAUACAUGUGGAUUUUAUAAAGUUUAUAGCACUUUAUAUUCAUAUUCCUGCAACCUAUAUUCUCAUCUGUGUUUCAUUAUAAGGAAAAACAGUAAGAAUUCCAGCUUUAACCUGCUAAUAUUCCCCAUACUCAGUCUAUAAUAGCACAGAGUUCCCAGUGAGUGCUAUUGGACUUUUGUUUGGCAGGAGGGCUAUUGAUUUCAUUAAGAAGACGUGUGGAGCACAUUACAGAAUGAUGACUGCUUCAUGGGAGGUCAACAAGAAAUCAAUACAAAAUUAUAUUACAGCUUCGACUAGCUGCGGUAAGUCCAGCUACUGAGCACAGCUGCCAACACUGGACUGGAAAACGGGGGGAAGACUUUUCCUGCAGGCAUUUCUUGUGAGAACAAAACAUGGUGAGGUAAAAAAAAAAGGACUGAGGAUUAACCACGGCCUUGUCUGUCGGCACAAGGCUGAAGAAGUUGAAGUGGACUUUCAAACCAAAGGAACUACGAUACCACUUAGUAAAGGGCUGAGAACAGAAGUGAUGCCUACUAUCUCACCAUAAAAAAGGAUACAUCGCAAAGAAAACCUAAAAAAGUCAUACCUUCAAGAAGAGCCCAGCGUGUGAGAGCAUGGGAGUGCAGCAGGAUAGGCUGUAUGUGUUCUUGGUUUAACCUUGUCACGUAUGAUUCAACACUUUGCAUAACACUGCCUGGAUGUAAGGCACCUCGAAUGCAAGGUAAAUGUGAACAGGUCAUCAGUGCCUUCCGGGAACAUCUGGACCCGGUGCUUCAAAUCUUUGUUUUGGGUUGGUUUGUUAGGAGUGUAUGAAAGAACACUGAC